AUGAGCACGCUCAACACCGCACGGAACCAAACGAGGUGGUGCAAGUUGGGUGACCCCAAGCAAUACUCCACCUCUCCAUCCCUCCUCCUAGAUAUGAAACCACACCGCAACGGGUUCCGCAACCAACUUCCCUGUCAAUACUCCGUUCUCGUUAUUUCUUAUCCCCACACACGCGCGCACGGCGACGAAGCAGUCAGAACGCAUCAGCAGCGGCAGAAGAAGAUUGGAUUGGAUAGCGCAGGCGAGGGCGAGCCCUCACCGUCGUCACCGCCGAUGAGGAACCCGCCCGGCCGGCACCUCCUGCGCGUCGCCACCCGCGCCGUGCGCUCCUCGUCCGGGUUCGGCGGCGCCUCCACGUCCGCCACGUCCCCCGGCGCCGCCUCGUCCGGGGGCCGCCCGCGCAGCCGAGGCGGCGGCGGCGGCGGCAUGCUCCUGCGGGCCACGUCCCCGCCCCCGCCCUCCGCCGUCGCGGCCGCCGCGUGCUGGGAGUCCCGCACGCUGCGCCGCGACGGGGAGGACGACUGGGAGGAGGUCGUCGUCGCCGCGGCCGACGGGGCGGCUCCGGGCGCCGGCGACGCGGAGGUGGACAGCGACUACAGGGUCGUGUUCUGGUCCCCGCCCACCGGGGACGAAGUCCGCGCCGCCUUCUCUAGCAUCCAGGAGGUGUUUGAGGGUUCUUAUUAUGAUGUGAAUUCAGAUGAAACUGAGAAACAACUAGCACUGCUGUCCAACUCAGAGCAUUCCUCAUCAACCAAUUCAUCAGGAUCAGACGAUUGGGUCGAACCUGCUGCAUAUGUUCUCAACUCUACUGCUCUUCUGACCAGGGAGCAUAGGAAUGUUUUGGAUGCCUUCCGUCUAUUGCAAAGAGACCCUAAUGUUCAGAAAAUGGUUAUGUCCUUGUCAUGUGAUAGGACUGUAUGGGAUGCUGUAAUGAAUAACGAGGCAGUGCAAGAAUUCAGGAGAUCUUUCCAGGAUGGCAAAGAAGUUAAUAGAAAGGGAAACUCUUGCGGCCCUGCUGUAGUGCUUAAGUGGAUCCUGGCCAACACCCAGGCAAAAAUAACGGAAUUCUUCGAUAAUAUAGCGAAGAUUGUCAGCAUGCUCUUCCACCCUCAAAGCGACGAAGACAAGCCCGAUCUGUACAGCGAUGCAGUGAAGGUGUCCUUCAUGCUCUCGGUGUUCGUCUUCAUCGUGGUGGCCGUUGCUCGUACCAAUUAUGAGCCGUGGGAUUUCGAAGUGUGGUGA
rnacentral:rRNA from 1 species